UACGAAGGGUGCAAGCGUUACUCGGAAUUACUGGGCGUAAAGCGUGCGUAGGUGGUUCGUUAAGUCUGAUGUGAAAGCCCUGGGCUCAACCUGGGAAUUGCAUUGGAUACUGGCGGGCUAGAGUGCGGUAGAGGAUGGCGGAAUUCCCGGUGUAGCAGUGAAAUGCGUAGAGAUCGGGAGGAACAUCUGUGGCGAAGGUGGCCAUCGGGACCAGCAAUGACAUUGAGGCACGAAAGCGUGGGGAGCAAACAGG
rnacentral:rRNA from 1 species